CGAAUCCGAUCGAAACAUGGGCGUUCUCAGCGAUUAGCGCAUGGUGACCGUCCGAUCGAUUUGCUUGAUGGAGUUCCGGCCGUCGGAUCGAGCUGUGGGAGAACCUCGUCCGUCCGAUCGAAUCCCCGUCCCCUGUAGCCCCCCUCGCCCGUCCGCUGCCCCCAUCCUCCCCGUCCGCCGCCGCCGCCCCCAUCCUCCCCGUCCGCCGUCGCGCCGUCGCGGGUCUCCUCGCGCAAGCGCACAACCUCCGCCAAGGCCGCGCCCGAGGCCGACCGCGGGGCUCCUCGGCCAAGCGCGUGGCUACCGCCAAGGCCGCGCCCGAGGCUGACAAGAAGGCCACGGUCACCAAGCGCCCGCACGAAGGGAACCACGUCGGGGAAGAAGAAGUCGGCCCCAAGUCCGUCGCUGCUGCACGCCCUCUCUAGCCGCCUCUCAUCGUCCUCGCGCUCGGCAAAAGGAGGACGAGGACGUUGAGCGGACAUAGGCUAUCACUCUCUCUGCGGGCGAGCCCGAGUGCUACGGCAUUAGCGAGGACCUCCGCGAGUUUGUCAACGGCAUGACCAUGAGUUGGAGCUGUCGGGUGUGUCCACGGCAAAUAGAGGAAGAGAGAUUCCAAAGGGAGCAAUCUAGACGAGCAGAGAAACAAAGACAAAAGGAGGAACUCAGAAAAGAGAAAUAGAUGGCGAGGCAGAUGAGCGCUUGGAAUUGACUGCGCAAAGCAAAGGGUUACCCUCAAUGCUUUGUCUUGAUAGUGACACAUUGCAGCAGUUGGAGUCAUUCUGAGCAGAUGACCUUAUAGAUGUCAUUGAGGGAAGUAGAAUCUACAUGCCUUGCAUCUACCCCCUAGCAGAUGACGGGCAAAGUAUGUUGUUGGCACUGCUAAAGAAUCGAUGGCCAAGGCUGGUGGAGGCACAAAAUGGCUUGCCUGACAGGGAACUACCGGAGGUAAUCGAGGGUCUUUGUACCUUGCCAGGCGUUGGUCCAAAAGUUGCAGCCUGCAUUUGUCUGUUCUCUCUUGAUAAGAAUCAGGUUAUUCAUGUUGACACACACGUCUGGAAGGUAUGCUAUGUCUGGUUAACCAUUGUUGUAUUCUUGCUGUAAAAACGACUUAAUGAGGUGUGCUUUUCCACCACUAUAUUCUCUGUUCAUUAUCACAAAAUUAGGAUGAUCUGAUUGGGUUUAGUUAUAAUAGUAGUUUUCUGCUGAUAAGAAUCAGGUUAUUCCUGUUGACACACAUGUCUGGAAGGUAUGCUAUGUCUGGUUAACCAUUGUUGUAUUCUUGCUGUAAAAAUGACUUAAUGAGGUGUGCUUUUCCACCACUAUAUUCUCUGUUCAUUAUCACAAAAUUAGGAUGAUCUGAUUGGGUUUAGUUAUAAUAGUAGUUUUCUGUUGGGUAACAACAUGUUCAAGGCUUCACCUAGAUGAAUUGUACGAGUUUGGACCAUGAUAACAACUAUACAUUUCCUAAAUGGAUCAUGUUUAAAUUUCAUGGUGUGUGGGUGCACCUAUUCUAAAUUACUAUAUUGUUGGGAACUAAAACUUUCAUCCUUUGAAAUGCAAUGGAACUUAUAAAGUAAACAACCACCACUGAAACUUAUACACAAUGCAUGCUCUGUUUCAGAAUGAGAACAUGUUUUGUGGUAUCAAAAAUACAUUUGAACCUUGAGGAUGCAUGGUGGCAGUCAUCCCGCUGGACCAUGCCAUCAAUGGUAGCUAUACGACCUGCCCGUGCUUGCAGGUGUUAAUGUGGUCGUCCGUUUCCCGGACUACGAGGUUGGAUAAAUCAUACAAGUUGAAUGUGCUUGCAACCGGGAACCCGAUAUAUAUAGGCCCGAAUUAAGAUUUUAACCUAUUCCAAAGAGCCAACCGUUCGAGCUAGCCACGCUGUGAAAUGGCCGAGCAACAACAAUCUGACAUACAUCAGUCGACGAUGAAGAUCAGAUACGUAAUUUUACCUAUAAGCUUAUUUGCUUCGGAGGCUUAUUGUACUGCUACAGUUUUCUCCAGGCACGGACUCGAUGCCGGCGACCCUGCCGUUUCCACACCACCUUGAGGAGAAGCGCAACAUGACAAAUCAUAUUUUACUGUCCCUGUUUCCCGGUUUCCACAUCACGGCGACUCGAUCCGCCGCUCUCGGCCAUGGCACGCCUGAAUCAGUCAGAUUUAUCGAGGGACAAGACUGGCAAGCGCUCCUCCGUGUCGAUCUUCGACCGAGGUAGAUUGGUGAACUCAAGAGGCUGUUGGAGGGGGGUCAAGUAUGUUGGGUUAUAGAGGCGAGCCCCGACACAAUCAGGCAUUCUUACGUUAUGCACCUGAUCUCUACCAUGUAGAUGGAAUGGUCUAUGUGGGCUUGCCCGAGAUUGCCCCUCUUUGCAGGUGAAUUGGGCACUUUACAAACUCGACUUGUGUGCUUCCAUAAUCAAUAGUCCCGAUUGAAUGAGUUGUAUCGGUGAUGUAAACUCGCUUCAUGUAUGUAAUAAGUGUGACUUACUGUGCACAUAUAAGCUCUGAUAUAUUGUUCAUACACUUCUUAUUCCCGUGACUCAUCAUCUGGAUGGUAGAGUAAUAAUUAGUCGUGACGUUUGUUGGCAUAAUGUAUUGAACCUUUAUCCUUUUGGUAUAUCAUGUUGCAUUUCCUAUGAAAAUGCACUACUGUUAUGUAAUAGACUUUGGUAGUCUGGACAUUUUUGUUUUUCUUAAAUCAUGCCUUACCGGGCUGGCUAUGGCUGGUGCGGGUGGGGUGCGGCAAGCCGCACUUCCUAUCUAGUAGAUGAUGAAGGGAAUUUGGUAUUGCCCUAAACCCUAAUCAAUGAUGGAAGAUCAAU